UUGUGAAGCAAAAGGUUUGCCAAAUGAUCUAUCAGAUUUUGUGUUCUGCCAGUACUCUUUCUGGGGUCACUUGGAAAGUGACCUCUUUCUGGGGUCACUUGGAUGACUUCAUUACUGUUCCGUCGGAGAUCAAUCCAGACGCUAAUAAUGGCAAAAAGGACACCAAAUGUAUCAAGUUUAACCAUGGAAGGGAUUUCAAAGUGUAUAUGUCAAAAGAGUUCGUUGAGCAUGACCAGGAAGGAGCAUUAUCUGUAGAGGUCUGGGUACAUAAAGUUGUUGGGUUUGGUCAACAGAACUCCCUGAGAGAGAAUGCGGUUACAUCCAACUCUCUUAUUGACAGAUGAAAUUACAGAAGGAAAAGGAAAAACCUUCCACUUUUAAAUUUGAGAGCAAUAGGAAAAGUUUAACAGGAAAGUCAAGAUUUCCAGACAGAGUGUUGUUUGUCAAGAAUGAUUAUGCAAGACUUGGAGAAUCAUAUGCUAGUGGAGACCUCAAUUUUGAUGGUAGACCAGAUUUAGUUAUCACAGCCGCAGGAUAUGGAACAGUGGGUAGCCCACAGGAGGGUCGAGUCUACAUAAUUUAUAGAGAUGACAAUGGUAUUCCAGAGACCUUAAAUCCUGACCUUGACAGUCUUGAAUCAACAGGUCAAGGUUAGAUCCUUAAAGGAUGGGGAACAGCACAGUCUAGGUUUGGUACAUCAGUUGCUGUUAUGGACAUCAACUUAGAUGGGGCAGAUGAUAUAGCCAUUGGUGCGCCUGCUUUCACAGAUUUUGAUGAAAGUCCACUUUAGUAUACGGCUACAGGUGGAAGGGGAGACUAUAUGUGGAGCUCCAAGUGAUGCAGAGGUUGUUGCUGUUAACAAAUAUGGGGAGAUUUCUGUAUCUUGCUCAAGAGGUCGCUGCAUUAGACAGAAGAAACCAACUUCGUAAGGGCUUGGCUCAGGUACAUAUAUUGCCUCCUUCAGACAUGGAAUUCCGGCCAGACAAGAGUCAAGGUGGAGGUUGGCAGUGUGUUAGAGCUUCCAUUAAACAUCCGAACCACUCUGGCAGGGAAGAAGUAUUCUUUUAACAACUGUAGAAACCUGCCAUUAAAUGUUACCUUUACUGGUUCUUCUGUUGUGAAAAAUGUCGAGAUAAAAGUAGCAGUUCCUUAGAUAAAUUAGCAUACUGAGACAGCCUCUGCUUAUCCACAAAAACGUCUGAAGUAUGAACUCAGCAUGGCUGUUAUACCAUACAAUGACUACAUAGGUCAUUUUCAACCACAGUUGCACAAUCAUGGUCUGCACUGUUCGCUAUUCAGUCAGUAAAUUUUCAAUGAACACCCCUUCGAAUGAUAAAUGGUAUUACUCAAACUGAAUGAUGGACCAGUCCAUUUUAGAAAUUUAGCAGGCUAAAGGUUAAGACAGGUACCACAGUUCAUAAAUUUUGAAUACAGAUCUGAAGUCACAGACGACUUUCUGCAAGCACUGUUAUUAUAUGGAAGUAGCUGUUCGUACUGGACUCGGGCUAUUUGUACGGCUGUCCCCUUAUGAAUAGUGAAAUAGCCCAUAGGUGGCUAUUCAUAAGGCAGUUUUGUAUUACAUUGUACUCAAGUCAUUUAUAAUAUUGUUGUCAUUGUAUGGUGUAUAUAAUAUUAGUUACAAAAAGCGUUCCAUUAUUGUUAAAUAACAGUAUUUUUUGUUUGUUUGUCGUAAACUAAUGUGUAUAUAAAUGUAUAUAAAUAAUAAGGAAAUUAUAUAACAUUUUAUUCAACACCA
rnacentral:lncRNA from 1 species